UGUUCCUUGGAGACUGUAGACACUGCUGGGUUUCUGUGGUUGGACUAAAGAGUAUUUACUCUUUCAUUUAGAGUACUCUCUUCUCUUACUGAGAAUGAGUUUAUUUACAUUGAAAAAGCGUUUGUUGGUUGUUUUGGGGAUCAUGAAGUGAUCAUAGCACUACAGUAGAUAUACCAAGACAGUGCUUCACCAAGACAACUUAAAUGGUGACUUUUAAUUAGAAGGAGGGACUUGUUUAUUGUGAAUUUAGUUGGGAUCCUGGUGCUCCCCGGUGCUCCUGGAUCUAAUAACACAGGUGAAGCCCAUGUUUGCCCUGUCAGGGCUGUGAAGCACCCCAAGCACUUUGGGGGCAAUGAUAUGAAAGAGCUCCUGAAAAGAAGAGAUCUGGACUGCACUUAUGCUUGAAAUGACAUUUGUACAACGUCAGCCACUGGUUUAGUCUAACAGUCUGGGCAUCCCCUGCCAUCUUCAAAAAUGUAUGCUCAGCAACUGAGCAUUGGGUGUGCAGACAGCUGGAAAAGAUGCAAAGCAAAAUGGAGGGCUGCAAGCCCUUCUCUCCAGGAGGCUGCCCGGAACUCACAUUCCUUACCCUCUGCUGCCAUCUAGUGGCUCCUCGUCCCUUCUUCACUGUGUGUUCGGCGUCAGAUGCAGCCUUCUCCGCUCUGGUGAAAGAGGAGUGAGCCGCUUCCAUUCAAGACAGUGAAGUAGAACAGAAAGCUGCCAGCUGUCUCCCUAGGGAAGGCAGACGCUGAGAGACACAGGGAAGGCAGUGGGGGCGUGUCUUCCAGAGCCCCAAAUUCAUUGAUCUACAGCAGCCAUCUCCCCCUUCUGGAUAUUACUAUUCAUCCGUUGAUUGACAUGUCCAUCCAUUAUUCAUUCAAGACCCCAUACUGUCCCAGCGUUGACAUUAUAGACACCACAACAACAAGUCUCAAGUUUCCACACCAGCUGCCGCAGUGUUUCCCGGACAGAGAAGGCCAGUUCAUUGCCAUUUCUUGCCUCCAUCUUCAGGUCAGUGCCUGAUCCAGCCAUCAUCAGAUAGGCUUCCUCCAGCAGAAGAUGGGAACAGAUGCAGAGACCCACAGCCAGAUACUUUGGAAGAGAGAGUUUGAAUUGGAGGUCUCCAUAAAAUCCCCUCCCCCCCCCCAGCUCAGAAAAUCUUGCAGAAGAUGAGGCACAAAGAUUAUGGGAGCCAGAGGAGAAAGAGGAUACUGGAGAACAACAGAAUCAGCUGAGCAAGGCACAUAUGAGCUCAUAGAGACUGAAGCAGCAAGCACAGGGCCUAUCUGGGUCCACACCAGGUCCUCUGCACAUAUAGUAUAGACAUUAGCUUAGUAUUUUUAUGGGAUUCCUGACUAUGAGAAUGAGUUGAUCUCUGACUCUUUUGCCUGCUCUUGGGACUCUUUUCUUCUUGUGGGAUUGCCAUGUCCAGCUUUGAUAUGAAAAGUUUUUUGCUUCAUCCUAUUAUAGUUUAGUUUCUCAAGUUUGGUUGUUAUCUCAUGAGAGACCAAAAGGGAGUGAAUCUGAAGAGGAAGGGUGGUAGGGAGGAACUGGGAGGAUUAGAGGGAGAGCAAGCUACAAUCAGGAUAUAUGAGAAAAAUCUAUUUUCAAUAAAAAAUAAAUAAAUGUCAGAGUGAUGAGAAAAGGAGAUAGGAACAAAUCAGGUAGACAUGGACAGGGCCCUAAAAACAGGCAGCUCUAAUUCUUGGUUUUAGCUAGGAAUAUCAGAAAUAUUCUGGCCAGACUCACUGAUUCAUGUCUUGGUUUCAAUUCUGCUCUAGCCAGCAGAUAAACAGGUCAGAAAUGUUCUGUCUAGAGACACUGGAGUGCACUGGUAUCCACAAUCUGGCCACAGGAAUGGAAAGAUGCAUGCACACCUGGUGGGUGGGCCACAUGGACUGACCUCAUCAUCUAUGCCUCAACCCAGUCUUUGCCAUAAGUCUUAGGAAAAGGCCCCAAAUGAGCAUCUUCCUGGUGCCCACCUCUGGGACCCCCCCUCUUCUGCCCUGGGGCUCUGCUUGCGUCCUCUCAAGUUCCCACUUACGAACCCAUAAUAAACUCCUUUAUUAAAUCACA